rnacentral:sRNA from 1 species
UCUCCAAAUCUUUGUUAGCCUCUCAACU